CCUACGGGAGGCAGCAGUGAGGAAUAUUGGUCAAUGGACGAGAGUCUGAACCAGCCAAGUAGCGUGAAGGAUGAAUGCCCUAUGGGUUGUAAACCUCUUUUAUAAAGGAAUAAAACGAGGUACGUGUCCCUUUUUGCAUGUACCUUAAGAAUAAGGAUCGGCUAACUCCGUGCCAGCAGCCGCGGUAAUACGGAGGAUCCGAGCGUUAUCCGGAUUUAUUGGGUUUAAAGGGAGCGUAGACGGGUUGUUAAGUCAGUUGUGAAAGUUUGCGGCUCAACCGUAAAAUUGCAAUUGAUACUGGCAGUCUUGAGUACAGUUGAGGUAGGCGGAAUUCGUGGUGUAGCGGUGAAAUGCUUAGAUAUCACGAAGAACCCCGAUUGCGAAGGCAGCUUACUGGACUGUGACUGACGUUGAUGCUCGAAAGUGUGGGUAUCAAACAGGAUUAGAUACCCGAGUAGUC
rnacentral:rRNA from 1 species